rnacentral:rRNA from 1 species
GACGAACGCUGGCGGCGUGCUUAACACAUGCAAGUCGAACGGAAAGGCCCUGCUUUUGUGGGGUGCUCGAGUGGCGAACGGGUGAGUAACACGUGAGUAACCUGCCCUUGACUUUGGGAUAACUUCAGGAAACUGGGGCUAAUACCGGAUAGGAGCUCCUGCUGCAUGGUGGGGGUUGGAAAGUUUCGGCGGUUGGGGUUGGACUCGCGGCUUAUCAGCUUGUGGGUGGGGUAGUGGCUUACCAAGGCAUUGGCGGGUGGCCGGCGUGGGAGGGUGACCGGCCAAAUUGGGAUGGAGAUACGGCCCAGCCUCCUACGGGGGGCAGCAGUGGGGAAUAUUGCACAAUGGGCGGAAGCCUGAUGAAGCAACGCCGCGUGCGGGAUGACGGCCUUCGGGUUGUAACCCGCUUUCGUAUGUGACGAAGCGUGAGUGACGGUAAUGGGUAAAGAAGCACCGGCUAACUACGUG